rnacentral:rRNA from 1 species
GUGUCAGCAGCCGCGGUAAGACGAACCUCCCAAACGUUAUUCGGAAUCACUGGGCUUAAAGGGUGCGUAGGCUGCGUAGUUAGUCGGGUGUGAAAUCCCCCAGCUUAACUGAGGAAUUGCGCCCGAUACUGCUGCGCUGGAGGGAGACAGAGGUAAGCGGAACUGAUGGUGGAGCGGUGAAAUGCGUUGAUAUCAUCAGGAACACCAGUGGCGAAAGCGGCUUACUGGGUCUCUUCUGACGCUGAGGCACGAAAGCUAGGGGAGCAAACGGGAUUAGAAACCCGUGUAGUCC